GAUUCAAAAAAGAGCUGAUCAGCCGCGCAUGAUUUAGACUGCAUCGUGACCAGUCGUGACUGUAGCGUGCUUUAUAUUUAUAUUUUCUUAUCUUAUCCAUUAAUUAUUUCUUAUUGAAAAAACGGAAAAAAACCAAGGAAGUCGGUUGUUGGUUUGAGGGUUUCCCUUUGAGUGCAACAUUUAAAUUAAAUUAUCCUAUAUUAUCAAAAGGUCUCAAAAAAUGUUGAUUAAAUCGUGGGACAAACUGGACUAUAUAAUAGUCCACCCAUUCUGAAACACCUCGAGGAACUUGACUUUAAGAAGAUGACCCCAGUGCAGGCUGCAGCAAUUCCUUUGUUCUUGAAAAAUAAGGAUGUUGGAAGUGGCAAAACUCUAGCAUUUUAAUUCCAAUGCUAGAAAUGCUCUAGAAAAGAAGCGAGCCUCUCAAGAAAAGAGAAUGUGGAGCUGUUGUCAUUUCACCAACAAGAGAGCUGGCUACUCAAACACAUAUAUGAAGUUCUCACGGGAUUUCUGGAACACCUUCCACACUUCACAAUUAUGUGCAGAUUACUUGUUGGGGGCUGUCCUGUGCACCAUAUGAUGUCCAGGCGUUGUCCAAGCAGGGAGCAAACGUAAUUUUUGCAACUACAGAGGCCAUCGCUUUUAAAUUUGAUGGACCGACAACUGCACACUGGGCUCCUGCAGGCAGUGAAAAGCUUGGAACUUCUGGAUUUGGACAUGGGAUUUCAGGUUGCUUUGAAAUCAAUCUUGGUCCGUCUGCCUCGACAACGUCGAACAGGGUCUAUUUUCAGCCACCCAAACUAAAGAAGUGCAAGCAUUGGUCAUGGCAGGCUUAAGAAAUCCUGUUUCUGUAGCUGUGUCUGAGAAAAAAAUGGGAGAUGCCAAAGGCAAUGAGAGGUAGAAACAUUGUAAGUCUCUAAACAAGUUCUUUAACUUAUAAUCUUGAUUUAGAUUAAAAAUUAGGAUUUACAGUAAGAAAAAAACUCUUGCUUCAAUGCUGUUUUUUCAAUCAUUAUUUUAACCUUCGCUUUUUUACUUUUAUACUUAAAGGUUAAUUAAAAUGAAAAAAAUUGCAUCCUAAAUAACCUCUCAUGAUACAUAUUAUGGAUAUUGAAACACUACUUGUUGUCUUGUCUGUGCCAGCCUCUGGGGCUCGUCACUCGGUUGAACGGCUCCGUCAGCGCGCUCACGCCCUCGCCGGGAGGGUGCUCACAGGGUUGGGUCGGUGUCUAGGGGGUGGGUCGACCUCACUUUUGACUCAACGAUCGCGGCUCAAAAUGUUAGCAUCUAGGUUCUAGAGGAAUUUAUUAAAAGAGAAACAAGUGGGUUUUGGUUAGGUAAGAAGAAACUAAAUUUAUUGGCUAACUCGAAUUAAAAAUACUAAAGAAAAUUGGCUCUACGUUAACGGGGUAGGAAAACGUUGCUGAAGGCAACGUGAAAAACCUCCCCAAAAGCAAGUGGCUUUAAUUGAAUUUACUUUAAGUUUAAAAACUUAAAUGACGCUUAAUUCUAACAGCUAAAUCUCUCACAUCUUAAAACAUAUUCAUUACACACUAUCAGAAAAAUACAAUGUACAAUUAAAGUCUAUCACAAAAUUAUACAGUCGAUAUUAACAUACAAGAAAACUUAUACUAAAAUACAAAAUCUAAUUUUAAUGGAUAUUUAGAGUAGGCUUAUAGCCUACCAUCUAUAGACUCCAAUUUUUACAAACUAAUACAAAUGAAAGAUUGGCCAAACCAUUCUCAGGGAUUUUUAUGGGUAGAGUAACAGACCUAUGUGCCUACUCUUGACUGUGUGAAAAUUGGUUUCACUAUAUUAAUCCCUAUUAGCAAGGUACUUGACGCAGAGAAAACAGCCUUUGCUUCCAUCACAUGAAAUUAAAAUCCUUCGAUUAAUUAACACACAUCGGUCAAUAGCCACAGGUUUCACACACAAAUGAGAGGAGAAAUAGCCUAAUUCAUUUUUAGGCUGAUUUUUUCUCGCUCGAUUUUGUCAACCAAGUUGACUCUGUGUACGAUGCCUGAGUCCAGUUCUCUCACGUCAUCACACAUGGCAAGGUUGACUUUGUCAUCCCACCACCAAUCAAGGCGCCCAUUGACGGACCCUUGAAAGCUCAGGUUUGACUCGGGCGGACGCUCGAACAGGGACGCUCCGUUCUUUAGGUUGAACCAGUACUUGCGGCUGGCAGACUUGCUGAACGCCACAGUCCAAGGUUCCUUGACUACCUUCAUGAACGAUAUCCCUCCGACCACGUGGAACUUGUCCUCGCUGUCGUCGAGCAUGAUGCACACUCUCCUGUCUCCGCCCAACUGCUUGAUCUUCUUCGAGUUGAGCUUUGCAAACAGGGAAUCCAACUUGUCCAUUGUGAAGGCUUGCUUCACCUCGAACCGAGUCAGGUCGAUUCUGCUGGGUCUCUCGAUGGCCUUGGCGAACAGUUUGCAGUGGUGAACGCGCUCGUCAAAGCUUAGAUGGCCAAUGACGCGGCCACCUAACACAUGCGCAUCCAUCACAUGCAGCACUUUUAUGUUGCUUUGCGCACGAGCCUCUCCACGCAGCUCCGACACCAGUUCUCCAAACACCAGGGUGCGUGCAGGAAGGUCGAGCUUAGCGUUUUGCACGCUAACGUUGAGCCAUCUGCCGCCUUUGCCGUCUAGAUAGUAGACAUUGCCACGUCCCACGCCUGCAAAUCAAAAAUGGUCAUAUUAAGUAUUUAAUUCGUCUAAUUUGUACCAGGUGAAGACUUACUUAAAAACAGUGUGCAAUUAUUCUUGGAAGUAGGUCCUGCAUUCAUAGCGUAGCACCUCCACUCCAGCAUUUUCAUGUGGUCCUGCAGAAUCGUGGGCGUCAAACCCCAGGAGUGUUUGCGGUAAUCCCAUUCGAGUGCAGCGAACGCGGCCUCUGGAUGCUCCACUCUAGGAACAGUUCGGCUUUCGUCCGGGAUGCGCCACAGGUCCAGACAGCUCUUCCUCAUCUCAGCCUGUCUUGGCUCGAACAAUGUGGAGUCCUGGCAGAAUGCUUUGAUUUUGUUCAGUGAGACAACCUGCCGAUGGCCAAGAUCGUUGUUUGACGUUGUCAGGUAGUCUACGAGCUCCUUGUCGCCAGCAAUAAUAUCCUCAGGAACUAAGCUGACAACUGCUUUGCCAGUAACAGUUGCCAGUUUUUCGAACUCCUCGUUAGCAGUCCACAUGAGAUCUCUCACGGCAGACACGUCAGCUAGUUUAUGCCUGCAUACAGAAAGAGAGAAUUAGUAUAAAGUCUAACAUCAAAUAAUAUAUAUUAUUAUAUAUUGGCAUGGAUACUCAAUAAAAUAUAAAUAUUGACUUUGAAUCAAGACAUUUGUCACUCACUUUUAAUUUUCUAAUUUCAAAAUUAUUUUUUAUGGUUGUUCGGCACAAAAGGAAACACUACACACUACAUUUUUUAAUUUCAACUAAAGACUAUGAUAGACCUCAAAAGUUUUAAGAUAAUAAUAUAAUUAAUGGGUCUAUUGUUUCAAUUUAUUUCAAAUGAAUAAAGGUUUAAAUAAUGUUGAGUAUAGAUAAUACAUACUUGCAAACCAGAUAUCUUUCGGAAUUAGCAGGCCGACUUGUAUUAGGCUUGAAGAUGCAGAUUUCUCUGAAAGCUCUCCUCAUCAGCCAAAUGAGACCAGCACUGAAUAGGGUGAAGACAUCAAACAGCUUGACUACGAAAUGUCCACCGGGGCGAGUAAUGCUCAGGGCUACCAGGCACUGACACAGGUACAGCCGAUGAGAUAGGAUUUCCUGGAUGUUUUCCUGGCCCUCGACGGAGAAGCCUCCGUCAGCCAUGGUGAAAUGGACUCCCUUGCCAUCUGUGUUUGCGAGUACGUGCUCCUGGAAGUGACGAAUGUUGGCUGGCUUGUAGAUGUCACCAUCUCCAUCCUCCCCAUAGCACGGCUCAAACGUCUCCGCACUCGCUGCGUAGAAGUCUUCCAGCUUGAAGUCAUUGCCCCCGGCGCGAAGUGUGAAGCCAAAGCCCUUGGCUUGCCACCUCUUCCGCCAGAGUACGUAUUCCGAGAAACCACCUGGUCCAGCGCAGACGUCAGCAAAGUACAGGAGCUCAUCUACUGGCACCGUUUUUUGGCCUUCUUCGUUCUUCGGGUCGGUGAACAUCAUCCCACACACGGCAUCAAUGUU